UCUCAAUUAUCCUUACGUUCAGAUACACCUACGCAUCUUUUUAGAGGCUAAUGUAUAACUAAUACACUUGAAAUAUGUUAAAUGGCACAAAUGUUUCAGAAUUUAUAAUGGAAGAUGAACAACUGCGACAGAUUGCACAGCUUUUGGUGAAAGAUGUAAUAGAGAAAGCUGUUGAUAAAAUAAAAACCGAAACAAGGGAAAUGGACAAAGGUCUUGACCAGGGGGUAGAUGAAAUUGUAGGGCUGACCAUUGGACGGUCAAUCAACGCCAUCCGCGAAGGUAAAAGUUCACCAACUGAUCAUAAGAUGGAGGUUAUGCUUGGACUCAACAAAUCCUUGGUUACUCCAACACCGGAAGUAGCAUCUAGCACAACAGGAAGUAAGCUUCUUGAUAUCAAAGAAGAGCGAAUCAAGCCAAGUGUAGGAGGAAACGAUAACAAGUCUCAUAUUUUUACCUCUAAUCCCACCAAAGACCACAAGCCGACAGGACACAAGAUAGGGCACGUGGCUACAACGGAUGCGCAGGUGAGCAAGGGCUCUCACAAGAAGAAUGUACUGGGACGAUUGUUGGACAGAAUUAUCAAGAGAGACAAGAAAGAGGCCAAGGAAGUUAAUGCUGCUACAGCUGGUGAGAAUAUUAUUCACUCGGAAAAAAUCGUUCAGAUCUGGUAAAACACUCAAAAUUAAUCGGAAAAAUACUCAAGCCUUUCCGCUUCAUCAAAGUCAAUGGUCAAACCACUAGAAGUUUUCCGACAGGAACAAAAAGAGGAAUACAGGAAGGUGGCAGCACCAACACCUCAGUCGGUGGAAAGAAGAAGAGUUCUUCCAAGGCCCAUAACAAGAGAGACUGGGUCCGUAGAAAUCUCCUGUGC
rnacentral:misc_RNA from 1 species